CACCAAUUUUCAGGCCCCCACUGAGCCCUUGGACAGAAGACAAACUGCACACUUUUGAGAUCAUUAAACUACAAUGAGCCUGAUUAUGAACCGUACUCUGGCACCCAGAUUUCGUUUUUGGAUUGCACCCUAAGAAUAAGUCUAAUAUAUAAAGAAUAUAUGGAACUCCUCUCACCUUUGCCUGACCAGUGCAUGACAUCCCACCCAGGAGAGCCAACCCUAGGGUCAUCUGCAUGACCACGUUAAAUGAUUUGGUACUUUUAAAGGUUACAGAUCCAUGGGAAUGUUUGCAGUGUGCUUACAGCUCAACACGCUAUUUGGCCACUUAGUCUGCUGUUGUCACAAGGAGUAUUCAAUGCGUUAGGAAUGUUGGAGAAACAUCAGUGGAAUACCAGUAUCAGAUAGAGAAGGAGGCAGCUUGCACAAUUUCUCUGUAUGUGCCCACACUGUGGAUCUAAUACAAUAAAUAUUUUCUGCAACAGCCCUCCAACAACACAGCUUUGAGCCUGUGAGCCCUAGGGCACCCACUAUAGGGGUUCUGCCUUACAAUAAGUCAAUUUCUUGGUCAUUUCAAUGGCAAAAUGGCACAUGACAUAUUGGUGCUACUUACACCCUUGAAAUGCUGUGUGCAACAACCAGCAGAAAAAAGGAGGAGGGUGGGCUGCCCACAUAUGGCAACUUCCCAUAUAAAAACAUCUGCAUAUUAUUAUUUUAGUUUAUUUUAAAAUGUCCAGAGUUUUCCUAGCAUACAAAAUAUAAAGCAACCAAAAGAACAAACAGAGCAUCAAACAAAAACAAAUGUUUAGCGGCAAUGCCCGUGAGAGCUUACAAUCUAGACUAUUUAUGCAUUCCUACGGCAGCAACGUGUACUGCUGGUUUAUAUAAUGUGUAUGAUGUGUUAACUAAAUAAGCACUGCAAAAUAAAACAAUUGGAAUAUU